AGAACAACUGACACUGAAUUGUGGGUGACAAAUAGGGAAAGGAAGUGUUUGAAGAGUUUCAGACCAAUAUAAGCCUCUCUGUGGAGGGGGAGAAGGCA